AUUGAACGCUGGCGGCAUGCCUUACACAUGCAAGUCGAACGGUAACAGGUCUUCGGAUGCUGACGAGUGGCGAACGGGUGAGUAAUACAUCGGAACGUGCCUAGUAGUGGGGGAUAACUACUCGAAAGAGUGGCUAAUACCGCAUGAGAUCUACGGAUGAAAGCAGGGGAUCGCAAGACCUUGUGCUACUAGAGCGGCCGAUGGCAGAUUAGGUAGUUGGUGGGAUAAAAGCUUACCAAGCCGUCGAUCUAGCUGGUCUGAGAGGACGAUCAGCCACACUGGGACUGAGACACGGCCCAGACUCCUACGGGAGGCAGCAGUGGGGAAUUUUGGACAAUGGGCGAAAGCCUGAUCCAGCAAUGCCGCGUGCAGGAUGAAGGCCUUCGGGUUGUAAACUGCUUUUGUACGGAACGAAAAGCCCCGGGUUAAUACCCUGGGGUCAUGACGGUACCGUAAGAAUAAGCACCGGCUAACUACGUGCCAGCCGCCGCAGUAA
rnacentral:rRNA from 1 species